UUAGCACUUAGGAAUCUUGAUGAAUUACUCUUAUUCUUAAGUCUAGGAAUAAGAGUAAAAUUACGGCAUUCUUAGAAUUGUGACACACUUAAGACUAAACUUUUACUUUGAGUGGCUUUAUACAUACGGCCCCA